UUCCGGUUGAUCCUGCCGGAGGCCAUUGCUAUCGGGGUCCGAUUUAGCCAUGCUAGUCGCGCGGGUUCAGACCCGUGGCAAACAGCUCAGUAACACGUGGCCAAACUACCCUAUGGACGUGGACACCCUCGGGAAACUGAGGCUAAUCCACGAUACGGCUCCCACGCUGGAAUGCGGGGAGCCGGAAACGCUCCGGCGCCCUAGGAUGUGGCUGCGGUCGAUUAGGUAGACGGUGGGGUAACGGCCCACCGUGCCGAUAAUCGGUACGGGUUGUGAGAGCAAGAACCCGGAGACGGUAUCUGAGACAAGAUACCGGGCCCUACGGGGCGCAGCGGGCGCGAAACCUUUACACUGCACGAACGUGCGAUAAGGGGACUCCAAGUGCGAGGGCAUACAGUCCUCGCUUUUCCCUACCGUAAGGUGGUAGGUGAAUAAGAGCUGGGCAAGACCGGUGCCAGCCGCCGCGGUAAUACCGGCAGCACGAGUGAUGGCCGCUGUUAUUGGGCCUAAAGCGUCCGUAGCUGGCCAGGCAAGUCUAUCGGGAAAUCUCCCCGCUCAACGGGGAGGCGUCCGGUGGAAACUGCCUGGCUUGGGACCGGAAGAUCCAGAGGGUACGUCCGGGGUAGGAGUGAAAUCCCGUAAUCCUGGACGGACCACCGGUGGCGAAAGCGCUCUGGAAAGACGGAUCCGACGGUGAGGGACGAAAGCUCGGGUCACGAACCGGAUUAGAUACCCGGGUAGUCCGAGCUGUAAACGAUGUCUGCUAGGUGCGCCACAGGCUACGAGCCUGUGGUGUGCCGUAGGGAAGCCGUGAAGCAGACCGCCUGGGAAGUACGUCCGCAAGGAUGAAACUUAAAGGAAUUGGCGGGGGAGCACUACAACCGGAGGAGCCUGCGGUUUAAUUGGAUUCAACGCCGGG
rnacentral:rRNA from 1 species